ensembl:snRNA U1 U1 spliceosomal RNA
ACACUUACCUGGCAGGGGAGAUACCAGGAACACAAAGGUGUUACAGUUUUCCCAGGGCCAGCUCACCCAUUGCACUGCGGAUCUGCUCACCCCUGCGAUUUCCCCAGAUGUGGGAAACUCCGCUCUAUAAUUGGGGGUAGAGGGGCAUGUUGGUGCUUUCCCCUG